CUCAGACAGACUUUUAUCACCAAUGGCAAACCAGGUCACAUACACAGAUGUAAAGAUUUUACCCAGGGAAAGAGCAUAUAUUGCUCCUCCGACUUCGAAUCCAGGAAUCACAUAUGCUGAACUGCGUGUGCAUCGUAAAUCUGAAAGGACCAGCAGAUCAGAGACUUCUCCUUCUGGUCCUGGCUCCCAGUGUUCAAUCUGGUUCUAUGUUGCGCUAGUCCUGGGGCUUAUCACACUGGUUUUGCUGGCUGUUCUAAUCACUUUCU